rnacentral:misc_RNA from 1 species
AACGCAUAUUGCGCCCUUUGGUAUUCCGAGGGGCAUGCCUUUUCGAGCGUCAUUAGGAACAACAAUCAAGCUUUGCUUGGAAUUGAGUGCACGGAGACAGGUGCGCUUCAAAGUAGAGGUAGGGCGCGGUCUGAAGGUCGGUGUGCUAGGCGCGGUUAUUUAGCCGGGUCAGCAUCGAUCGGGUUGGCGUGGGAGGCGCGGUGUCACCGCGCCGUUCCCCGUUGACCGACUCGCGCGGGAUGCCAGGUAUUGUACAGUCACCUAGGCAGCCCGUCGGGUUAAGGCUCUUUUGGCCCAGUAACUGACUAGACGUUGGACCUCGGAUAAGGUAGGGAUACCCGCUGAACUUAA